AGCUAGUGUGGUACAGUGGUUUGAGUGUUGGACUUUACUCUGAAGACCAGGGUUCAAAUCCCUACUUUGCUA